rnacentral:rRNA from 1 species
AUUGAACGCUGGCGGCAGGCCUAACACAUGCAAGUCGAGCGAGCGGCGGACGGGUGAGUAAUGCCUGGGAAUUGCCCAGUCGAGGGGGAUAACAGUUGGAAACGAUUGCUAAUACUGCAUACGAUUGGAUGGCCCAGGUGGGAUUAGCUAGUUGGUGAGGUAAUGGCUCACCAAGGCGACGAUCCCUAGCUGGUCGACGAGGAUGAUCAGCCGCACUGGAACUGGGGCACGGUCCAGGCUCCUACGGGUGGCAGCGGUGGGGAAUAUUGCACAGUGGGGAAAACCCUGAUGCAGCCAUGCCGCGUGUGUGAAGAAGGCCUUCGGGUUUUAAAGCACUUUCAGCGAGGAGGCGUUACUCGCAGAAGAAGCACCGACUAACUCCGUGCCAGCAGCCGCGGUAAUAC